GUUCUGUAAACUGACGGCUGAUUGUGCGAAAAGCGUGGGGGAUCAAACAGGAUUAGAUACCCUGGUUAGUCCACGCCGUAAAACGAUGAGUGCUAAGUGUUAGGGGGGUUUCCGCCCUUUAGUGCUGCAGCUAACGCAUUAAGCACUCCGCCUGGGGAGUACGACCGCAAGGUUGAAACUCAAAGGAAUUGACGGGGACCCCGCAACAAAGCGGUGGAGCAUGUGGUUUUAAUUCGAAGCAACGCGAAGAACCUUACCAAAUCUUGACAUCCUUUGACCACUCUAGAGAUAGAGAUUUACCCUUCGGGGGACAAAGUGACAGGUGGUGCAUGGUUGUCGUCAGCUCGUGUCGUGAGAUGUUGGGUUAAGUCCCGCAACGAGCGCAACCCUUAAACUUAGUUGCCAGCAUUUAGUUGGGCACUCUAGGUUGACUGCCGGUGACAAACCGGAGGAAGGUGGGGAUGACGUCAAAUCAUCAUGCCCCUUAUGAUUUGGGCUACACACGUGCUACAAUGGACAAUACAAAGGGCAGCUAAACCGCGAGGUCAUGCAAAUCCCAUAAAGUUGUUCUCAGUUCGGAUUGUAGUCUGCAACUCGACUACAUGAAGCUGGAAUCGCUAGUAAUCGUAGAUCAGCAUGGUACGGUGAAUACGUUCCCGGGUCUUGUACACACCGCCCGUCACACCACGAGAGUUUGUAACACCCGAAGCCG
rnacentral:rRNA from 1 species